AGGCGCGCAAAUUACCCACUCCCAGUACUCGGAGGUGGUGACGAUAAAUACCGAUGCGGGACUCGUCAUGAGGCUCCGUAAUCGGAAUGAGUGAGAUUUAAAUCCUUUUACGAGGAUCAAUUGGAGGGCAAGUCUGGUGCCAGCAGCCGCGGUAACUCCAGCUCCAAUAGCGUAUAUUAAAGUUGUUGCAGUUAAAAAGCUCGUAGUUGGAUCUCGGUAGCAUUGUUGCCUGCCAUCGCUUGGCUAGUUGGGCUUGGGCUUAGUGCUUUGCGCUAGCCUAGUUCGGCUGGUCGAGUUGGCGUGGUGGCGGUGUCACCUUUUAGCCAUGUCUGUGGUGAAAUACCCAUAGGUGUAGGCGGGUGUCAGGCGGUGCUCUGCAACAGUAGGGUCCGUCGGCUCGUUUGCAUGCCUUUGGAUGCCCUUUAAAAGGUGUCUGUUGGCGGAUGGCACGUUUACUUUGAACAAAUUUGAGUGCUCAAACCAGGCCGAUGUUGCCUGAAAAGUUUUGCAUGGAAUAAUAGAAUACGACUCCGGCUCUAUUUUGUUGGUUUUCGGAUCCGAAGUAAUGAUCAAAAGAGACAGGCGGGGACGUUUGUAUGGUUGCGCUAGAGGUGAAAUUCAUGGACCGUAGCCAGACAAACUAAAGCGAUUGCCUUCGUCAAGCAUGUUUUCAUUGACCAUGAGCGAAAGUCAGAGGCUCGAAGACGAUCAGAUACCGUCCUAGUUCUGACCAUAAACUAUGCCAACUGACGAUCCGUGAUGGUAGUAUUAUAACCUUCCACACGGGCAGUCCCCGGAAAACCUUUAAGUCUUUGGGUUCCGGGGGAAGUAUGGUUGCAAAGCUGAAACUUAAAGGAAUUGACGGAAGGGCACCACCAGGAGUGGAGCCUGCGGUUUAAUUUGACUCAGCAGGGGAAAACUCACCCGGGCCGGACACUAUGAGGAUUGCCGGAUUGACAGCUCUUUCAUGAUUUGGUGGUUGGUGGUGCAUGGCC
rnacentral:rRNA from 1 species